rnacentral:rRNA from 11 species
CUGUUUGGCUUAAAUACCCUAAAGAAUCCAAUUCCUGUGUGAUCAUAGAAGCAAAAUAGGAUCAGUUCAGGUUAGUACUUAGAUGAGAGAUUCCUAACAAAUCCCAGGUGCUGGAGACU